rnacentral:rRNA from 1 species
GAAUAUUGGACAAUGGGCGAAAGCCUGAUCCAGCCAUGCCGCGUGUGUGAAGAAGGUCUUCGGAUUGUAAAGCACUUUAAGUUGGGAGGAAGGGCAGUAAGCGAAUACCUUGCUGUUUUGACGUUACCGAACGACUAAGCACCGGCUAACCCUGUGCCCGCCGCCGCGGUAACACAGAGGGUGCAAGCGUUCAUCGGAAUUGCUGGGCGUAAAGCGCGCGUAGGUGGUGCGUUAAGUUGGAUGUGAAAUCCCCGGGCUCAACCUGGGAACUGCAUCCAAAACUGGCGAGCUAGAGUAGGGCAGAGGGUGGUGGAAUUUCCUGUGUAGCGGUGAAAUGCGUAGAUAUAGGAAGGAACACCAGUGGCGAAGGCGACCACCUGGGCUCAUACUGACACUGAGGUGCGAAAGCGUGGGGAGCAAACAG